rnacentral:rRNA from 1 species
AUUGAACGCUGGCGGCAGGCUUAACACAUGCAAGUCGAGCGGGGUGAUGGUGCUUGCACUAUCACUUAGCGGCGGACGGGUGAGUAAUGCUUAGGAAUCUGCCUAUUAGUGGGGGACAACAUCUCGAAAGGGAUGCUAAUACCGCACACGUCCUACGGGAGAAAGCAGGGGAUCACUUGUGACCUUGCGCUAAGAGAUGAGCCUAGGUCGGAUUAGCUAGUUGGUGGGGUAAAGGCCUGCCAAGGCGACGAUCUGUAGCGGGUCUGAGAGGAUGAUCCGCCACACUGGGACUGAGACACGGCCCAGACCCCUACGGGAGGCAGCAGUGGGGAAUAUUGGACAAUAGGGGGAACCCUGAUCCAGCCAUGCCGCGUGUGUGAAGAAGGCCUUAUGGUUGUAAAGCACUUUAAGCGAGGAGGAGGCUCUUUUGGUUAAUACCCAAGAUGAGUGGACGUUACUCGCAGAAUAAGCACCGGCUAACUCUGUGCCAGCCGCCGCAGUAA